rnacentral:rRNA from 1 species
UACGUAGGGGGCAAGCGUUGUCCGGAAUCAUUGGGCGAAAAGCGCGUGUAGGCGGCUCGAUAAGUCUGCUGUGAAAGUCCAGGGCUCAACCCUGGGAUGCCGGUGGAUACUGUCGAGCUCGAGUCCGGAAGAGGAGUGUGGAAUUCCUGGUGUAGCGGUGAAAUGCGCAGAUAUCAGGAGGAACACCAAUGGCGAAGGCAGCACUCUGGGACGUGACUGACGCUGAGACGCGAAAGCGUGGGGAGCAAACAGG